rnacentral:misc_RNA from 1 species
CAAAUGAACAAUGAAAGAUCAGACCGGGAUUGCCUGAGGAUAAAAUUGGUCGCAACUCUUCCUAUCCUGUAGCAGCUUUCUCCAUUUGCCUCUAAUACACCAGUCAGGCAUAACUUCAGACUAUGUCUAGAUCAUAGGCCUAACAGCCCCAUACGUUUUGUCCUUCUCUUUGAGCAUCAAAUUUGGCAUUUGAACGCCAUAAUUAAAUGUACAAUUGCACAGCAAGCAAGAUCUUCAUCUCUUACUUAAUCAAAAGUUCCCGUUUUCUCACUCUUAGCCUCCACAAAAAAAUCCAUGCCAUCCCUAAAAGUCUUGACAUCACAUAGCUUUCCACCAGCCUCAUCGGCAAAAACAAUCUUCCUCUUCUUACAGACCCCAUCUCGGGAAUCAGCAGAAUUUUUCUUGACCAAUUUCAUGAUUUUACAAAAACGGU